GCAAGUCGAGCGGACAGAUGGGAGCUUGCUCCCUGAUGUUAGCGGCGGACGGGUGAGUAACACGUGGGUAACCUGCCUGUAAGACUGGGAUAACUCCGGGAAACCGGGGCUAAUACCGGAUGCUUGUUUGAACCGCAUGGUUCAAACAUAAAAGGUGGCUUCGGCUACCACUUACAGAUGGACCCGCGGCGCAUUAGCUAGUUGGUGAGGUAAUGGCUCACCAAGGGAACCAUGCGUAGCCGACCUGAGAGGGUGAUCGGCCACACUGGGACUGAGACACGGCCCAGACUCCUACUGGAGGCAGCACCAGGGAAUCUUCCGCAAUGGACGAAAGUCUGACGGAGCAACGCCGCGUGAGUGAUGAAGGUUUUCGGAUCGUAAAGCUCUGUUGUUAGGGAAGAACAAGUACCGUUCGAAUAGGGCGGUACCUUGACGGUACCUAACCAGAAAGCCACGGCUAACUACGUGCCAGCAGCCGCGGUAAUACGUAGGUGGCAAGCGUUGUCCGGAAUUAUUGGGCGUAAAGGGCUCGCAGGCGGUUUCUUAAGUCUGAUGUGAAAGCCCCCGGCUCAACCGGGGAGGGUCAUUGGAAAC
rnacentral:rRNA from 1 species